rnacentral:rRNA from 1 species
ACUGAGUGGCGGACGGGUGAGUAACGCGUGGGUAACCUGCCUCAUACAGGGGGAUAACAGUUAGAAAUGACUGCUAAUACCUCAUAAGACCACAGUACCGCAUGGUACAGGGGUAAAAACUCCGGUGGUAUGAGAUGGACCCGCGUCUGAUUAGGUAGUUGGUGGGGUAACGGCCUACCAAGCCGACGAUCGGUAGCCGGACUGAGAGGUUGAACGGCCACAUUGGGACUGAGACACGGCCCAG